GAUGAACGCUGGCGGCGUGCCUAAUACAUGCAAGUCGAGCGAACAGAUGAGGAGCUUGCUCCUCUGACGUUAGCGGCGGACGGGUGAGUAACACGUGGAUAACCUACCUAUAAGACUGGGAUAACUUCGUGAAACCGGAGCUAAUACCGGAUAAUAUAUUGAACCGCAUGGUUCAAUAGUGAAAGACGGUUUUGCUGUCACUUAUAGAUGGAUCCGCGCCGCAUUAGCUAGUUGGUAAGGUAACGGCUUACCAAGGCAACGAUGCGUAGCCGACCUGAGAGGGUGAUCGGCCACACUGGAACUGAGACACGGUCCAGACUCCUACGGGAGGCAGCAGUAGGGAAUCUUCCGCAAUGGGCGAAAGCCUGAUGGAGCAACGCCGCGUGAGUGAUGAAGGUCUUCGGAUCGUAAACCUCUGUUAUUAGGGAAGAACAAAUGUGUAAGUAACUAUGCACGUCUUGACGGUACCUAAUCAGAAAGCCACGGCUAACUACGUG
rnacentral:rRNA from 1 species